AGGAUUGGAACAAAACAAACACUUUCCUCUGUAAGUCAUAUUCAUUCAUUACUACAAUACCCAUCAAUAGUUUUGGCUCAUUCUUCACACCCAUUACUGUAUUUUCUUUUUGGGGAGUUUUGAUACCUUUAAUUUUUAUUUUUUUCGAUCGAGAAGAAAGAAAGUAAUAAUUGAUUGAUUGAUCUUCUUCUUUAUUAUUAUUAUUAUUAUUAUUAUUAUUAUUAUCUUUUUCUAGUGGAGGAACUGAUUGGAAGAGGGUCUUCCUUUCUCUGAUUCUUCAUAAGAUUUCUGCUUUUUUUUUGGUUAAGAUUGAUCCUUUUUAGUUGGAGUUUUUCAAUUCAACUCAAAUGUUCAAAAUUUUAAUCUGGGUAUAGGGUGAAAGAAGCUGAGAGUUUGAGAAGUGAAUAAAAAAAGGUUCUUGGAGUAUGAGAUUGAACAAAGCACACGGUUUGGUCUGAGUUUCAGCUGUAAAAAAGGUUGGGCUUGAUUUUAGUUUCCAGAUGAGAAGUGGGGUUUUUGUGUACCCUUUAAUUGGCUUAUUCAAAUAUUAGGUUUAGGAAAAAAAAAAUUAAUAAUAAAAAUUCUUGUUUUUCUUUAGCUCUUCAGUAUUUAUUCAUUCAAAUAUUGGGGUUUAAGCAUUUGAGCUUUUUAUGCCUUUGAUUUGGUCUUGAUGGAGUUUUUAGUGGCUUUAUAUGCGGUCUAUUGUUGAUAGUUUAGUGAAAUUUUAGAAGGUGGAAACUUUUGUUUUGUUUAUAUUUUUAGUAUGUUAAAACAGAUUCUGAGUAAGCUUCCCCGGAAGUCUUCUAAGAGCAAUGAAAGACAUGAAAAUGGUGGAAACUAUGCUACUUAUUUUAAUAAUGCUUCUUCUACUAAUUCAAGAAGUAGUGAGUUAGAAGAGAGUAACAAGUCUAGAACUUCAGUUAUUUCUUUACCUACUGGUACCAAUUAUGCUUCAGAAGUGGAGCAAAAUCAUCAUGGUAACAAAAAUGGUGGAUUUGCGAAUUCGAAGCAGAAUGGUAUUGCAGUGUCUUCUUCUUAUGAAGCAUUGCCUGCAUUUAGGGAUGUUCCAAGUUCUGAGAAGCAAAGCUUAAUGAUAAAGAAGUUGAAUUUGUGUUGUGUUGUGUUUGAUUUCACUGAUCCAACAAAGCACCUUAAAGAGAAAGAGAUCAAACAGUUGACAUUGUUGGAGUUAGUGGAUUACUUGACUUCUGCAAAUGAUAAGUUUUCUGAAACUGUUAUGCAAGAGGGUAUUAAAAUGGUGUCCAUAAACUUAUUUAGAACCUUCAAUCCACAACCGCGCGAGAACAAAGUUGGAGAAGGGUUUGAUUUGGAUGAGGAGGAACCUUCCAUGGAUCCAGCAUGGUCUCACUUACAAAUUGUGUAUGAGUUUUUUGUAAGAUUUGUUGCAUCAUCUUAUAUCGAUGCGAAACUAGCUAAAAGAUAUGUUGAUCACUCUUUUAUUCUUCAGUUGCUUGAGCUUUUUGACUCUGAAGAUUUUAGAGAAAGGGAGUAUCUGAAAACCAUUUUGCACCGAAUUUAUGGGAAGUUUAUGGUUCAUCGUCCAUUCAUUAGGAAGGCGAUUAACAACAUUUUUUAUCGUUUUAUCUUUGAGACAGAGAAGCAUAAUGGUAUCACUGAACUUCUAGAAAUUUUGGGCAGCAUUGUAAAUGGAUUUGCUAUACCAUUGAAAGAAGAACACAAGUUGUUUCUUGUCCGGGCACUUAUUCCUCUGCACAAACCGAAAUCCUUGGUAAUGUACCACCAACAACUAUCUUACUGCAUCACACAAUUUGUGGAAAAGGAUUGUAAGCUUGCUGAUAUAGUCAUAAGAGGCUUAUUGAAGUACUGGCCAAUAACCAAUACUUCCAAGGAAGUGAUGUUCUUAGCUGAAUUAGAGGAAGUUUUAGAAGCAACUCAUCCGCCAGAGUUCCAGCGAUGUAUGGUGCCUUUGUUUCGCCAGAUUGCUCGUUGUUUAAACAGUUCUCACUUUCAGGUCGCGGAGAGAGCAUUGUUUUUGUGGAACAACGAUCACAUUGAGAACUUGAUCAAACAAAAUAUCAAUGUCAUUCUACCAAUAAUCUUCCCUGCCUUGGAAAAUAAUGCUAGAAAUCAUUGGAACCAAGCUGUUCAUAGCUUGACCUUAAAUGUUCGUAAGAUUUUCCACGAUCUUGAUCCCGAGCUGUUUGAAGAGUGCUUACACAAGUUUAAUGAAGACGAGUCAAAAAAAGAAGAGAUUAAAGCAAGGCGAGAAGCCACGUGGAAACGCUUAGAAGAGCUCGCCGUGAAGAACUUCACAAGUAACGAGCUAGUGCUCGUUUCACGGGAAGCUCCUCAUCAUGCUACAACCUAGUUUAGCAGAAAAUGGACAAUUUGAAUGGCCUACAAUUCUUUUUUCAGUUGAGAUGAGAUUGGUAAAGAAAAACUGGGAUGGCAAGUGGAAUUCCUAUGAGCCCGGUGCCUGAGAAGCGAACUGCAGAAACUCGGGAUCCUCUUCAAAUCAAGCCAUGUCUUUUUCCUCUAAGUUGAUCCAUGCCUCGACUCCAUCCCCACUACUGUUGCUCAUCAAUAUUAUAACAUCUUUAAUAGUUAUGUUAGUAAUACAUGUCUGGAUCGGUUUUCCUCAGCCUAGAUCGGUUUCAUAGAGUGGGAACCCAAAGCCAACUGCUGAAUCUGUAGAAUGGUACCACUCCUUCAGACACCAAUUUACUUGCUUCCAUUAGAGAAUCAUAAUCUUUUCUUCAGUUCUGAUUUUGGCCACAUAAUCUUUUGUUUAUUUUCCUUAUUACUUUCUUCAUCUGAACCACCAAAUCAUGCAACUCAAGCUUAUUGCUUUCUUCUUCUCCUUAUUCCAUGAUGAUCGCGACCGCUCAGUAGUCUCUUGCAAUGGUAGAUCCAUUCUUCCCCUCAAAUUCACCACAUGGGAUAUCACCAUGGAAGGCCUAGAGAUCUUCUCAUUGGAUGAUAUUUUGUCACAACUUCUAUCCUAGUAGGGUAAAAUCAUCACUAUGGGUAUCCAUUACUUUGGAAUUGAGUUUUGCUAAACUUGGAACAGAAAUUUCUUUGUCGCAACCCUCCCUGACUCAAAGGAUGUUACGCCAUUGUAUGUUCCUUGUUGACCGUCAACAAACUCGCUGAAAAACAAAAUGGACUAAGACAAAGCAAGUACAACUAUGUUAGUCAUACAACGAUGGUAUUAGGAUCGGGAGCUACUAGGGGGAUGAACCUGCAUCUCUCUAUUAGGAAAAACCACAAGCCGAGUCGAAAGAGGGUGUGAUUCUCUUGUCAUUGCCAUUGCCAUGGGAGGGAGAUGAAGCACUAACACUUGCAACCCACACAACAAGGAAUGUGGAAAAUGUGGUUCCAUGGACAACUUUGUGUGAGAUGCAAAUGCCAAUCCCAAUGCCACCACAGUAAAAAACGCUUAACUGAACCACCAAGACCGGAAUACCAUACCACCCUCAUCUUCAUAAUCCUUUUUUUACAUUGUAAGGAUUAAUUGAAAUGAGUUGUUGUGUUGAACCCAUCUUUGGAUUUUCAAGUAUCUCAGAAAGUUUAACAUUAGCUAGCUUUAGCUUUCAUGUAACUGA